AGUUGCAAACGCCAGGUAUGACAUCCAGUCAUCAGACUCUCUUAAUAUACUUUUUCUUUAGAAAAAAAAGAGCACAGAAUGUGACAACACUGGCAGAAAUGAAAAGCAGAACAAAGAAGAAAAGGUCGCAAAGAUAAAGGAAGAUGACAAGGACGUGAUGUCACCACCGUCAACUUCUGUUUACGCUAGUCUAGACAGUCGCCCCAGGUCCAUUUACGGCGUGCUGGACUGCUCAGCUGCUGAAGCGGAACCGAAAAUCAAGAAAACUAAUUCAAAGAAAAGGGAAAUGCUUAAAACAGUGGAGCCAACAGCAGAGCACCAAGAUGAAGGCGCAUUGGAAUGUGUUUAUGAGAACUUUUGAAAGAAAUCUUGGCUUCUGUUCAUAUUUGUAGCAUUGAUUAUAAUUUGAUUUUUGUUGUUGUUGUUACUAUUAAAGCUUGCUUUAAGUGAAGCCUUCAAGUCACACUUUUGUGAAAGCAGAGCCCUAUUUUUUUUAAUUACUGUUCAAAAAGUCUCUAUACAUCAUUAAUGUGGCAAAUAAUUCAAAAAUGACUAUUCCAAUUGCAAAUGUCUGGUUUUCGUGCAUUAUUUAUAUAUAGAGGCUGAUUUCCAGCAACAUCACUCCAGUGUUCUAAUGUUGGCUCAUUGUAUCAGAAGGCAAAUAGAUGAUUAAACAACCUUUGGCAGCACAA